UGAUUUACUCCUCUAUGUCUCUGGUGA
rnacentral:piRNA from 1 species